rnacentral:rRNA from 1 species
CCCUUAGAUGUUCUGGGCUGCACGCGUGCUACACUGAUUACUUCAACAAGUGUUUUAACUGGAGAGUUCGCGUAAUCCUGAAAUGUUAUCGUGAUGGGAGUAGAGUAUUGUAUUUGUUAAUCUUUAACGAGGAAUUCCUAGUAAGUGUAGGUUUAUAAGUUGUUCUGAUUACGUCCCUGCCCUUUGUACACACCGCCCGUCGCUCCUACCGAUUGAAUGUUUCGGUGAAGAUUCCGGACCGUGGCGAGCGCGCUUCACGGCGCUCUUGCCGUGGGAAGUUAUCUAAACCUCAACAUUUAGAGGAAGGUGAAGUCGUAACA